UUAACUUACAGGCGAAUUAAUUUCGCACUGCCGACACAAGGAAUACGAUAAUAAUUAUUAAGCGUAAUGUAAGUACGCCGUCCCUUGUGGGCCACCUCCAAAAGGUGGUUUUUUUAUUUA
rfam:Enterococcus villorum ATCC 700913 genomic scaffold acvIF-supercont1.8, whole genome shotgun sequence.